AGUGAACGCUGGCGGUAGGCCUAACACAUGCCAGUCGAACGGCAGCACAGUAAGAGCUUGCUCUUACGGGUGGCGAGUGGCGGACGGGUGAGGAAUACAUCGGAAUCUACUUUUUCGUGGGGGAUAACGUAGGGAAACUUACGCUAAUAACGCAUACGAACUACGGGUGAAAGCAGGGGAUCUUCGGACCUUGCGCGAUUGAAUGAGCCGAUGUCGGAUUAGCUAGUUGGCGGGGUAAAGGCCCACCAAGGCGACGAUCCGUAGCUGGUCUGAGAGGAUGAUCAGCCACACUGGAACUGAGACACGGUCCAGACUCCUACGGGAGGCAGCAGUGGGGAAUAUUGGACAAUGGGCGCAAGCCUGAUCCAGCCAUACCGCGUGGGUGAAGAAGGCCUUCGGGUUGUAAAGCCCUUUUGUUGGGAAAGAAAAGCAGCAGGUUAAUACCCCGCUGUUCUGACGGUACCCAAAGAAUAAGCACCGGCUAACUUCGUG
rnacentral:rRNA from 1 species